UUACUUGUUACUUUUAAAUUACUACCUCCGGUCCUAUUUAUAAGAGAAAUUUAGGUCAACAAAAGUGAAUGUAUUUGAACUGAAUUUUUAACUAGAUACAUCAACUUUAGUUGACCCAAAAUUCUCUUAUAAAUAGGACCGGAGGGAGUACAAUGCAAAGAUGGGUUUCUCAC
rnacentral:pre_miRNA from 1 species